rfam:Thauera sp. 27 Cont28, whole genome shotgun sequence.
CGGUAGCUGGUUCCACCGAGCUCUCUUGAGCGAACCCAGCCGUCAGUCCUUCCUGGACCUCAACCCACCGCGGG